UCCCGGGUGGUGUAAUUGGCAGCACGGGGUCCUUUGGAGACUUCAGGUUCGGGUUCGAGUCCUGACCCGGGAG
rnacentral:tRNA from 1 species